CCUACGGGGGGCAGCAGUGGGGAAUAUUGCGCAAUGGGCGAAAGCCUGACGCAGCGACGCCGCGUGAGGGAUGAAGGUCUUCGGAUCGUAAACCUCUGUCAGCAGGGAAGAACGGUCACUGUGCUAAUCAGCAGUGAAUUGACGGUACCUGCAAAGGAAGCACCGGCUAACUCCGUGCCAGCAGCCGCGGUAAUCCGGAGGGUGCGAGCGUUAAUCGGAAUUACUGGGCGUAAAGCGCUCGUAGGCGGUAUGUCAAGUCAAGGGUGAAAUCCCCGCGCUCAACGUGGGAACUGCAUUUGACACUGGCAAACUGGAGUGUGUGAGAGGAUAGUGGAAUUCCAGGUGUAGGAGUGAAAUGCGUAGAGAUCUGGAGGAACAUCAGUGGCGAAGGCGACUAUCUGGCACAGAACUGACGCUGAGGAGCGAAAGCGUGGGUAGCAAACAGGAUUAGAUACCCGAGUAGUC
rnacentral:rRNA from 1 species